ensembl:lncRNA
CUGAAUGUUUUUAUUAAUGCACUGAUUGGUUAAUAGCUGAGAGCAGACAAAGUGUCAAAGAACCACAGGAAAUGGUGAACAUAAAUGUAAAGAAAAAAAGUUGCUUGUCAGAUUUUCCUAACAAGUAACCAUAUCUUUUUUUUUAAAUUAGCUGAAAAAACCACAACCCGCAUCCAGGAUUUUUUUCACGCAACUUAAAAAAAAAAAGAAGCCCAGAGUUGCGUAUAAUAAGGGGACUUGGCAACAGUGAAGAUGAGACAUGAGAGCAGUGAAGCAGCUCAACAUCCGACACGACAGACUUUGGAGAAAACCUCAUACUUUCAUGUGCCUUGAUAUCAAACCCAUUACAGUCUUGGGUUCAUUAAAAUGCUGUCAGAGUUGUCUGUGAGUUCUCUUAUAAAACAGCGAUAUUUUUCAGUUUAAACUUAUAAAAUCCAAUUAACCCGUUGCUUCUUUAAGUACUAAUUAAAUCACUACCACUACUAUAAUUGUGGAAUUGACAUCACAUCCUCCUGAAGUUAAAAACAAAUAUAUCAUUAACUACAGAGGGUGCCUUCCAGCAUCUCAGUGGAAAGCUGUUUAGCUCGUGUACUUAUGAGAAUAUGAGGGCGUGUCUUCAUGUGACAGGAGCAGUUUUUGUGAAACAUGAGCACACGGAGCUCAUAUGACCUUUGAUCUUCACCGACGUGUGAAGAAUUAAGAGCUCAAUCACAGAAUUCAGUUUCAUAACUGCUUAAUGUUUGUAGCACGUACAUUUUCUCAGUUUACUGGCCAUUAGCAGGUGUGAGUUUUGUGUCUGUCUACAAGAUUCAAAGAGGAAACAGGAUUGUUUUGUUUUUUUCCUUUGUUGAGCUUCUCGACACACGGUCUGUUCCUGGCAUUCAUACUCCUUGACGUAACGCUUAACAAAAGACAUAAAUGCCUUAAAUCUCGCCAAGCCAGUUUGGUGUCCUCUUUUACAACAUUCUACUUUCACAUUGAUGCUAGGAAACAAGAUGUUCAGGAGUUCGGGACAUUCUCUAAUCUAUCCAAAAUAUCCAAGUUACUGACAAACCAGUGAUAAUAAGAGUGAAGGGAAAGCAUUCUGAAGGCCGACAGACAUCAGGAGCCUGAGCACGGCCGUGAUGAAGCUGGAUCUGAGCUGCAGUGUUUGGGUUCUGGCCGUUGGUUUGCUGCCGUUGGUCCGAAUCACUGCCGGAUCCAUUUUGGGCGCAGCUGUUAACAUUGAGCUGUUUGACCAGGACAGAUCGCAGCCGGUCAGGGCUCAUUACAGCGUGGUGUCCAAUUUGCCCUGUCCAGCUCUGAAUGAGCUGUGUAACGGAGGAGACUGCGUGGAUCAGCUCAGCUCCUCUCCUCUGACAGGGGCUUUACCGUCACCCGGCUGGUGUCUUCAUCAGUGGCAGAAGAACAUCCCUGAACACCACACAUCUGCUCUUCAGCUCAGAUCUGACAGAGCCGUGACACUGGAUUCACGAGCAGAUCUGUCUGUCAGAGCCGACACUAACCGUGUUAACCAGCCUCCAUUUGUGGCUCUUCCUCCUCCAGUCAGGUUACAAGCUGCUUGUCCUCAAGAAAUUCCGGUGAAUGUGAUGGAUUUGGAUGGAGAUGAGAUUCGCUGCCGUUAUAAGAAGACUGAACUUGGUGAAUUUCUGCAGCUUAAUGAAGAGACAUGUACACUGCUGUAUGAAGGUAGAGCUGGUUUGGGUCAGUAUUCAGUUCUGAUCAUGGUGGAGGAUUUUCCUUCAUCUGACAGAGAGGCCGAGCCGUUCUCCACUGUACCUCUGCAUCUCCUAAUAACAGUUGAAAGCGGAGCUGGCUGCUCAGUUGUGCCGGAGUUCACAGGCGUCAGUCCAGCAGGAGGCGCUGUAAUCCACGUACUGCCCUUUGAGGAGGUCCAUGUCAACAUUACAGUGGACUCAAGAGUACAGAGUGUGUCUGAAAUUGCUGUGACUGGUCCGCCGGGCCUCUUCAUAUCAUCAAUGGAAAUUGGCCAGAGCUUCUACAGCUCCGUCACGCUGUCCUGGGUCCGAGGUCCGAAUCAGUUCACCCAUCUGCUGUCUGUUUGUUUCGCUGCUAAUACUCCAAGCCUGCAGUCUAACAUCAGGUGCAUAUGGCUUCAGCAAACACAAACAGACCCUUUGCCGACUGGAACAGAGUUGAAAUGUAAGGAGCGCGAGCUUCAGAUGUCUCUAGUGCUGCCCAUUUCCUUCCUGGAGAACCUGCAUUUCUCUGCUCUCCAGCUGAAUGAUCCGACCUGUCCAGUGUUUUAUAACUCGACCCAUGUCACCGCCACCUUCUCUCUGACGGGCUGCGGAACCAAGAGGAUGCAUUUAGGAUCAGAAUUGCUGUACACCAACACUUUACGCAGCAUCAAUCCUAACUCCACUAUAAGCCGCGUGCCCACUCUCAUCCUGCCGCUUGCCUGCCGGAUUCCUGGUCAACAAGCUAAAGGUCCGGCUUUUAAAAUCUCCAUUCCUGAAGAAGUGAAGACGUUUGGUGCCGUGUCCUUCUGGCUGGAGUUCCAUCUUCCCGGAAAGGGUCCUAUGGCCAGCAAGACUCGUCUAUCAGAUUUGCGCAGUUCACCGCCAGUGCGUGCGGCUCGAGAGCUACGCGCUGCAGACCGGGUGGACAUGCUGGACCUGCAUGUGUUCUCCAACUGCUCUUUGGCUCGUGCUGAGCUCAUGGUGGGCCGCUGUGUGGAGUCAGAAACAGAAGACUUUACAAGCACAAGGCCUCUGCUGAACCAGGGCUGUGUAUCUGGAAAUGGAACCUUGGAGAUCCUGACAUCAACUUCAACAGUUCGGAUUUUCCGCUUAUAUCUCGGUUCUCUGGGAAUAAAGGGAGACACGAUGUAUGUUGAGUGUGUAGUGCACCUCUGUAUUACCACAAAACAAACUGACAGAUGUUCUGAUCCCUGUACGGGAACGCCGGACCCGACCAUAGUAGACAGCAUUCUGACCCGCAGCUACACUGUGCGAUCAGGGCCCGUUUCCCUCAUUAAAGUCACAGAAACCAGCACUACAGUGGCUAAACCGCAAUCUGCUACUCCAGUCGCUCAGCCUUCCACCAGCCAGGCCACAACAGCUUCUGCCUCUCGCCCUCUGGAUACAGGUGCAUUCUGGAUAGUUGCUGUGUCAUUGCUUGUGCCCAUGCGUCUCCCUUGAGCUGUUAUGACACAUUAGAGAACUUUGUAGAGCAGUUUAUUUGUGACUAAUCAAAAUGAUCUUUUCUUCUUAACCACCAUUAUGAUGUUUCUUUAUAUAUCCUUGAAUCACGUAAAAAGCACAUAUUGUAGGAAGACAUACUUCAUGCCUUUACAGUUAUUAACAAGUUUUAGGUAGCAUCAAGAAACAUCUACUCCUGCUCUUCUAAUCUUUUAUUUUUAAGCAACUAUAAUAAAUUGAUAAAAUUCAUAAUAAUAGGCUUUUUUCCCGUUUUUUUUUUUUUUUUUUACAAGAAUAAAUGAAAUAAAUCACAGUGUAAAGUAAAAAGUGAAACUUCUGGCAUUUAUUCACCCUCAUGUUUUCCAAACCAGUAUGAAGGAAUAAAGACUGAUGUUUAUCAUAAUGUGAACGCUUCUCUUUUUCCUUAUGAUAUCAUGAAAGCGGACAGUAAGUAACCAGGGUCUGUUGUAAAAAAAAAAAAAAAAAUAUAUAUAUAUAUAUAUAUAUAUAUAUAUAUAUAUAUAUACACAAACCCAAUUCCAAAAAAGUUGAGACACUGUACAAAUUGUGAAUAAAAACAGAAUGCAAUGA